ACUUAAAUUGAAGAGUUUGAUCAUGGCUCAGAUUGAACGCUGGCGGCAGGCCUAACACAUGCAAGUCGAGCGGUAGCACAGAGAGCUUGCUCUCGGGUGACGAGCGGCGGACGGGUGAGUAAUGUCUGGGAAACUGCCUGAUGGAGGGGAU
rnacentral:rRNA from 1 species